AGAGUUUGAUCCUGGCUCAGAUUGAACGCUGGCGGCAUGCCUUACACAUGCAAGUCGAACGGCAGCACGGGAGCAAUCCUGGUGGCGAGUGGCGAACGGGUGAGUAAUGUAUCGGAACGUACCUUUCAGUGGGGGAUAACGUAGCGAAAGUUACGCUAAUACCGCAUAUUCUGUGAGCAGGAAAGCAGGGGAUCGCAAGACCUUGCGCUGAUUGAGCGGCCGAUAUCAGAUUAGCUAGUUGGUGAGGUAAAGGCUCACCAAGGCGACGAUCUGUAGCGGGUCUGAGAGGAUGAUCCGCCACACUGGAACUGAGACACGGUCCAGACUCCUACGGGAGGCAGCAGUGGGGAAUUUUGGACAACGGGCGCAAGCCUGAUCCAGCCAUGCCGCGUGAGUGAAGAAGGCCUUCGGGUUGUAAAGCUCUUUCGGCCGGGAAGAAAUCGCAUGGGUUAAUACCCUGCGCGGAUGACGGUACCGGCAUAAGAAGCACCGGCUAACUACGUGCCAGCAGCCGCGGUAAUACGUAGGGUGCGAGGGUUAAUCGAAAUUACUGGGCGUAAAGCGUGCGCAGGCGGUUUGUUAAGAUAGGCGUGAAAUCCCCGGGCUCAACCUGGGAACUGCGCUUAUGACUGGCAAGCUAGAGUACGGCAGAGGGGGGUGGAAUUCCACGUGUAGCAGUGAAAUGCGUAGAGAUGUGGAGGAACACCAAUGGCGAAGGCAGCCCCCUGGGUCGAUACUGACGCUCAUGCACGAAAGCGUGGGUAGCAAACAGGAUUAGAUACCCUGGUAGUCCACGCCCUAAACGAUGUCAACUAGGUGUUGGAUGGGUAAAACCAUUUAGUACCGGAGCUAACGCGUGAAGUUGACCGCCUGGGGAGUACGGCCGCAAGGUUAAAACUCAAAGGAAUUGACGGGGACCCGCACAAGCGGUGGAUGAUGUGGAUUAAUUCGAUGCAACGCGAAAAACCUUACCUACCCUUGACAUGUCCAGGAGCCUAGAGAGAUUUGGGUGUGCCCGAAAGGGAACUGGAACACAGGUGCUGCAUGGCUGUCGUCAGCUCGUGUCGUGAGAUGUUGGGUUAAGUCCCGCAACGAGCGCAACCCUUGUCGUUAAUUGCCAUCAUUUAGUUGGGCACUUUAACGAGACUGCCGGUGACAAACCGGAGGAAGGUGGGGAUGACGUCAAGUCCUCAUGGCCCUUAUGGGUAGGGCUUCACACGUCAUACAAUGGUCGGUACAAAGGGUUGCCAAGCCGCGAGGUGGAGCCAAUCCCAGAAAGCCGAUCGUAGUCCGGAUUGCAGGCUGCAACUCGCCUGCAUGAGGUCGGAAUCGCUAGUAAUCGUGGAUCAGCAUGUCACGGUGAAUACGUUCCCGGG
rnacentral:rRNA from 1 species